rnacentral:rRNA from 1 species
CACCGGCGGCUCGAGUGGUGGCCACUUUUAUUGGGUCUAAAGCGUCCGUAGCCGGCUUGGCAAGUCCCCUGGGAAAUCUGGCGGCUUAACCGUCAGGCGUCCAGAGGAUACUGCCAGGCUUGGGACCGGGAGAGGUGAGAGGUACCUCAGGGGUAGGGGUGAAAUCUUGUGAUCCCUGAGGGAUCACCAGUGGCGAAGGCGUCUCACUAGAACGGGUCCGACGGUCAGGGACGAAAGCUGGGGGCACGAACCGG